rnacentral:sRNA from 1 species
GGUGUGUAGAAUGAAGUUUGAUCCAAGAUCGAUUUUUCCAUGUUCUCUUGACACACAAUCGCAUGUAUGUAUGUACAUAGUAUGUAUACAUGAGCGAAAAUGUGAAACAUGUGUAUGGAUAGAUCUCGGACCAGGCUUCAUUCUUGACACU